AAUCUAUGCAUAGGACACUUCCAUAGCAAUUCUUUAAAUCUUUCCCAUGCUUCAUACAAGGUUUCAUCUUCCAUCUUAUUUAAUAAAGUUAAAUUGUUUCGAAGCUU